CAAACAAGUCACAACUGACCUGCAAAAAUUCUGCAAGAGAAAACUGAAGUCUGAGUGUGCUGGCAGAGAACCUUGACCUUCUAAGAAAUAAUGCGGAUCCUGUGGCUCCUUUGACAAUAAGUGUGAGCCGUGUGCCUGCUCAGACUUCCUGUCCUGGUUUGAUCAAGCGGAAUAUCAGAGCCAUAUCUGUGACUCAUACACAACGAUGAAUGGACUCAAUAUCUCUCCUUCAGGAUUAGUCCUUUACAAAAAAUACAUUGGCCGUAUCAGCUACUAUUACUGGAAGCGUGACUCCUGACGCUAUCAUGUUGUGCUAGCAUUCAAUUUUUU